rnacentral:rRNA from 1 species
UGAGGAAUAUUGGUCAAUGGACGCAAGUCUGAACCAGCCAUGCCGCGUGGAGGAUGACAGCCUUCUGGGUUGUAAACUUCUUUUAUAUGGGAAGAAAAGCGCGGUUUCUACUGCGUCCGACGGUACCAUAUGAAUAAGCACCGGCUAACUCCGUGCCAGCAGCCGCGGUAAUACGGAGGGUGCAAGCGUUAUCCGGAUUUACUGGGUUUAAAGGGUGUGUAGGCGGAUAUUUAAGUCAGAGGUGAAAUCUCCGGGCUCAACCCGGAAACUGCCUUUGAUACUAUUUAUCUUGAAUUUCGUUGAGGUUGGCGGAAUAUAUCAUGUAGCGGUGAAAUGCAUAGAUAUGAUAUAGAACACCGAUUGCGUAGGCAGCUGGCUGAACGAACAUUGACGCUGAGGCACGAAAGCGUGGGUAGCGAACAGG